AUUGAACGCUGGCGGCAGGCCUAACACAUGCGAGUCGAGCGGUUGAAGGGUUCUUGCUCCUGGAUUCAUCGGCGGACGGGUGUGUAAUUCCUAGGAAUCUGCCUGGUAUUGUUGUAUAACGUCCUUUAACGGGCUCUAAUACCUCAUACGUCCUUCUGUUGCAAUUUGGUUAUCUUCGUACCUCACGCUAUCAUCUUUGCCUAGGUCGGAUUAGCUAGUUGGUGGGGUAAAGGCCUACCAAGGCUACGAUCCGUAACUGGUCUGAGAGGAUGAUCAGUCACACUGGAAGUGAGACACGGUCCAGACUACUACGGGAGGCAGCAGUGGGGAAUAUUGGACAAUGGGCGAAAGAAUGAAACAGAAAAGCCGCGUGUGUGAAGAAGGACGUAGGAUUGUAAAGCAAGUUAAGGAGGGAGGAAGGGAAGUAAGUUAAUAACUAGAUGGUUUGACGUUACCAAAAGAAUAAGCACCGGCUAACUACGUG
rnacentral:rRNA from 1 species